GCGACUGAUGAGAAACCUCAUGUUACUGACACCUCUAGUCUGACACUGUUGGUGACGAGCACACAUUUGUAUAGUUAUCCCUGUCUGAACGC
rnacentral:sRNA from 2 species